rnacentral:rRNA from 1 species
UACGUAGGGUGCAGGCGUUAAUCGGAAUUACUGGGCGUAAAGCGUGCGCAGGCGGUUUGUUAAGACAGAUGUGAAAUCCCCGGGCUUAACCUGGGAACUGCGUUUGUAACUGGCAAGCUAGAGUGUGGCAGAGGGGGGUGGAAUUCCAAGUGUAGCAGUGAAAUGCGUAGAUAUUUGGAGGAACACCGAUGGCGAAGGCAGCCCCCUGGGCUAACACUGACGCUCAUGCACGAAAGCGUGGGGAGCAAACAGGAUUAGAUACCCUGGUAGUCCACGCCCUAAACUAUGUCAACUGGUUGUCGGGGAAGCAAUUCCUUGGUAACGAAGCUAACGCGUGAAGUUGACCGCCUGGGGAGUACGGCCGCAAGGUUA